rnacentral:rRNA from 1 species
AUUGAACGCUGGCGGCAGGCCUAACACAUGCAAGUCGAGCGGAUGAAGGGAGCUUGCUCCUGGAUUCAGCGGCGGACGGGUGAGUAAUGCCUAGGAAUCUGCCUGGUAGUGGGGGAUAACGUCCGGAAACGGGCGCUAAUACCGCAUCCGUCCUGAGGGAGACAGUGGGGGAUCUUCGGACCUCACGCUAUCAGAUGAGCCUAGGUCGGAUUAGCUAGUUGGUGGGGUAACGGCCUACCAAGGCGAGUAUCCGUAACUGGUCUGAGAGGAUGAUCAGUCACACGGGAACUGAGACAGGGCCGAGACUCCUACGGGAGGAAGCAGUGGGGAAUAUUGGACGAUGGGCGAAAGCCUGAUCCAGCCAUGCCGGGUGUGUGAAGAAGGUCUUCGGAUUGGAAAGCACUUUAAGUUGGGAGGAAGGGCAGUAAGUUAAUACCUUGCUGUUUUGACGGUACCAACAGAAUAAGCACCGGCUAACUUCGUG